rnacentral:rRNA from 1 species
UACGUAGGGGGCAAGCGUUGUCCGGAAUCAUUGGGCGUAAAGCGCGCGUAGGCGGCUUUGUAAGUUAGAGGUGAAAGCCCGGAGCUCAACUCCGGAAUUGCCUUUAAGACUGCAUCGCUAGAAUCAUGGAGAGGUGAGUGGAAUUCCGAGUGUAGAGGUGAAAUUCGUAGAUAUUCGGAAGAACACCAGUGGCGAAGGCGACUCACUGGACAUGUAUUGACGCUGAGGUGCGAAAGCGUGGGGAGCAAACAGG